rnacentral:rRNA from 1 species
CACGUAGGGCGCAAGCGUUGUCCGGAAUUAUUGGGCGUAAAGAGCUCGUAGGCGGUCUGUUGCGUCUGCUGUGAAAACUCGGGGCUUAACCCCGAGCCUGCAGUGGAUACGGGCAGACUAGAGGUAGGUAGGGGAGAAUGGAAUUCCCGGUGUAGCGGUGAAAUGCGCAGAUAUCAGGAGGAACACCGGUGGCGAAGGCGGGUCUCUGGGAAGUAACUGACGCUGAGAAGCGAAAGCGUGGGUAGCAAACAGG